CAUAGUCUUUCUCGUUGUCGGU
rnacentral:siRNA from 1 species